UAGGUUCUUCGGGGCAGGGUGUGAUUCCCUACCGGCGGUAUAGUCCGCGACCCGCUGCAUGCGGCUGAUUUGGUGUGAUUCCAAAACCGACAGUAUAGUCUGGAUGAGAGAAGACAAUU
rfam:Clostridium bolteae CAG:59 genomic scaffold, scf343